rnacentral:rRNA from 1 species
AGAGUUUGAUCAUGGCUCAGAAUAAACGCUGGCGGCGCGCCUAACACAUGCAAGUCGAGCGAGAAAGCUCCUUCGGGAGUGAGUACAGCGGCGGACGGUUGAGUAACACGUGAGAAUCUGCCCUUUAGUGAGGAAUACCCUCGAGAAAUCGAGGUUAAUACUGCAUAAGCCCCUUCGGGGGGAAAGACGGCCUCUUUGCUGUCGCUAAAGGAAGAGCUUGCGGCCUAUCAGUUUGUUGGUGAGGUAAAGGCUCACCAAGGCGAUGACGGGUAGCCGGCCUGAGAGGGUGAUCGGCCAGAUUGGAACUGAGAUACGGUCCAGACUCCUACGGGAGGCAGCAGUGAGGAAUAUUGCGCAAUGGGCGAAAGCCUGACGCAGCGACGCCGCGUGGAGGAUGAAGGUCUUCGGAUCGUAAACUUCUGUUAAGUGGAAAGAAAGAUUUAUUUUUAAUACAGAUAAAUUAUGACGGUACCACUAGAGAAAGCACCGGCUAACUUCGUGCCAGCAGCCGCGGUAAUACGAAGGGUGCAAGCGUUAUUCGGAUUUAUUGGGCGUAAAGGGUACGUAGACGGUGUGUUAAGUCCGCUGUUAAAUUUUCCAGCCUAACUGGAAAACUGCAGUAGAAACUGGCGCACUAGAGGAUGGAAGAGAGAAGUGGAAUUCUCGGAGUGGCGGUAAAAUGCGUAGAUCUCGAGAGGAACACCGAUGGCGAAAGCAGCUUCUUGGUCCAUUUCUGACGUUGAAGUACGAAAGCGUGGGGAGCAAACAGGAUUAGAUACCCUAGUAGUCC